rnacentral:rRNA from 1 species
CACGUAGGGUGCGAGCGCUGUUCGGAAUUAUUGGGCGUAAAGAGCUCGUAGGCGGUGUGUCGCGUCGGCCGUGAAAACCCGCAGCUCAACUGUGGGCCUGCAGCCGAUACGGGCGGGCUGGAGUUCGGUAGGGGAGACUGGAAUUCCUGGUGUAGCGGUGAAAUGCGCAGAUAUCAGGAGGAACACCGGUGGCGAAGGCGGGUCUCUGGGCCGAUACUGACGCUGAGGAGCGAAAGCGUGGGGAGCGAACAGG